UGGGGAAUAUUGGACAAUGGGCGAAAGCCUGAUCCAGCCAUGCCGCGUGUGUGAAGAAGGUCUUCGGAUUGUAAAGCACUUUAAGUUGGGAGGAAGGGCAGUAAGCUAAUACCUUGCUGUUUUGACGUUACCGACAGAAUAAGCACCGGCUAACUCUGUG
rnacentral:rRNA from 1 species